AACUUGUUGCCAAAUAUAAAAGGUUCCAAAAUGGCGGCAGAGUACGAUCCCUGUGCUCGUCCACUCUGUCCGUUCUAUUUCCUUUCUUCCCUCCUUUCUUUUUCUCUUUUUUUUCCCCUUCAUUCUUCUCAGGAUAUCCUGAACUCCCAGCCUCAGUGCAGACCCAGUGUGGUGGUGUCCUGGCAGCUCGGCUGGGUGGUCUCCUGAUCCAGUGUGGCCUCAGCGUGGAUUUCCAGCCUCAAUAGGACUCCAGAGCAAUCUCCCAGCCUUGAGGGACUCAAAGGGAAGCCCAACAAAGUCUGGGAGUCAAGGCCCAGCAGGAACUAGAGGAUAGCUACAUUUUCGCCCCUUUCUGGGUGGACAAGCAAACAAUUCUUCACUUGGGCUGCUUCAUGCAAAUUGAGGAGGAUUAAGGAAAGCUCACAUGUUGCUGAUAACGGAGGAGGAAAAGUUGGCCUCUCUUUAAAUUAUCUUUUGUUUUUUUUGUUUAAAUUUUUUAAGUUUAACUUAAUGAGAAUGGCGCCAAUGCAUGGUGACUGUAUGAACCGUACCCUGUAUUUUAUAUUGAAUACGCAUGACAAUAAAUGAUUCAAUUCAAUUCAAUUCA